GUCACUUUGCUGCAGACCAGAUAUGACCAACUGAGCAGCAACUACAGCCAGAUCCAGAGCAACGUUUCUGAGAAGCUGUGUCCUGACGGAUGGAAGAGAUCUGGAUGCAGUUGUUACUUUAAAUCUAAUGAGAUGAAGAUUUGGCCUGAAAGCAGAGCUGACUGUCGGCAGAGAGGAGCAGAUCUGGUCGUCAUGAACAACGAAGAGGAACAGAUGUAGUCACAAGAUGGCUUCACUACAACAGAAAUGCUGAACUGUGAUCAGAGAAAUGAUUGUUGUCAACUUCUAGAAGUUUGUCACUGAGCUGAGUAAGGAUGGAGAGUACUGGAUUGGUCUACGGUAUGACUGGAUACAAGCAGAAUGGAAAUGGGAAUGGGUCAACGGAUCACCGCUGACAGA